rnacentral:rRNA from 1 species
UAGGGAAUUUUCGUCAAUGGGCGCAAGCCUGAACGAGCAAUGCCGCGUGAACGAGGAAGGUCUUCGGAUCGUAAAGUUCUGUUGAAGGGGGAAAAAGAGCGGAGAGAGGAAAUGGUCUCCGAUUGAUAUUACCCUUCGAGGAAGUCACGGCUAACUACGUGCC